UCAAACUUGGUCAUUUAGAGGAAGUAAAAGUCGUAACAAGGUUUCCGUAGGUGAACCUGCGGAAGGAUCAUUACAGAGUUCAUGCCCUCACAGGUAGAUCUCCCCACCCUUGAAUACUAUACUUCGUUGCUUUGGCGGGCCGCUACGGCUACCGGCCCUAGGGCUGGUAAGCGCCCGCCAGAGGACCCCAAAACCCUGAAUAUUAGUAGUGUCUGAGUGUGAUACAAUAGUUAAAACUUUCAACAACGGAUCUCUUGGUUCUGGCAUCGAUGAAGAACGCAGC
rnacentral:misc_RNA from 1 species